rnacentral:lncRNA from 13 species
AUUAACAUAUUAUUCCUAUUUUCCUUUAGUAUAAUGGAAUUAAAGAUCUUAAAAUCACCAGUACUUGCUUAACCAGUAUUCCAGAGCCAGUAGUAGACUAAGUCUAACAAAGAGUCUGGCUUGCCUGGAAUUGCCCUGAAUUUUGAGGAUCUGUGCCAGAAAAGUAUAAUAGUUGCCCAGAGCAUGAUUUCCCUGGAGAAUGGGGUUUUAUUCCAGCUAUAAUCAAAUAGUAAAGGUAGCAAAGUACCCUAUGAAUUAAUCUAUUCCAGACUAAGUUUGAAACUAAUUAUUUAUUUCAUGGUAUUUAACACCUUUGUUUAGAGUUCAGGGAACUUUUGCUGGACUGGGAAAAGACAAAUUCAACUAGUUUCAUAUCAUUCUCAUGUUUACUUUCUUCACUUAUAGAAAGAAUUCUCUAUCAGCUAAACAGAGAUAGAACCUGGAUUCUAACGCUGGUCUUGAUUAUCUUGGAUCCCUGGGGUCAGAAAUUUGCUAACUUCUUUUCUAGGAAUUUCCAUGAAAUGAUAUUUUCAAGGAAAACUGCCAUUGAUUAUUAAAGGAUUCAAAACUUUCAUAAUCCAAGGUGAAUUAUAUUUGAGAACUUCAAGGUAGUUUAUAAAUAUUAAUUUAUUUUAUGAUGUAUACAUACUAACAUACAUUUGCCUUCAAUGCAUACUCUCAGCUUUGUGAGUUGGGCUUAAAACCUUAAACACAUCUCUGCUUUCUGUGAGUCUUACAAAUUGUGAUUAUCGAAAAUACUUAAUUGGUUAUCCACAUGGAACAUUUUUUAGGACUGGUCUGCACGCAUUUAGAGGAUAUGUAGUGGUCAGUUUUUCCAUUGUGAAAUUGCUGUUUGACCUCAGAAUGACCUAUCUGAGAGAAUGCAGAACCAUGAGUGGAAUUUUGUUCCAAGUGGGGAAAAUAUGCUAGUGGGGAAAAUGAACUAGGGAAUUACCAAAGGGACCUAUCCUACCCCAGAUAAAGGUUUAGGCAAUGGGAGAAAAAACCUCAUCUACAAAGAAAGGUAGAAGUCCAUAAUUUUGGGAAGUGCUCUAACCCCUUUAUUUAAAAAAGAAAAAAAAUUCUUAAAAAUCCAUGGAAAAGCAGCAUCUGGCUUCUUGGUCUGUGUGUGUUUUUGAAUAAACUCCCAAAUGUGUCUUUGACCUCGGCA